GACGAACGCUGGCGGCGUGCCUAAUACAUGCAAGUCGAGCGGACGGAUGGGAGCUUGCUCCCAGACCGUCCGCGGCGGACGGGUGAGUAACCCGUGGGCAACCUGCCUGUAAGACUGGGAUAACUCCGGGCAACCGGGGCUAUCACCGGAUAACUCUUUCCCCCAUGUGAGGGACAGCUGAAAGAUGGCAUCUCGCUAUCACAUACAGAUAGGACCGCGGCGCAUUAGAUAGUUGGUGAGGUAACGGCUCACCAAGGCGACGAUGCGUAGCCGACCUGAGAGGGUGAUCGGCCAGACUGUGACUGAGACAGGGCCCAGACUCCUACAGGGGGCAACAGCAGGGAAUCUUCCGCAAUGGACGAGAGUCGAACGGAGCAACGUCGCGUGAGGGAUGAAGGUUUACGGAUCGGAGAGCUCUGUUGUCAGGGAAGAACAAGUACCGUAGUAACUGCCGGUACAAUGACGGUACCGGGCCAGAAAGCCACGGCUAACUACGUG
rnacentral:rRNA from 1 species